rnacentral:rRNA from 1 species
CCGCAAAAGGCUCAUUAUAUCAGUUAUGGUUCCUUAGAUUGUUAACAGUUACUUGGAUAACUGUGGUAAUUCUAGAGCUAAUACAUGCAAUUAUAAACACGGACCACAGUAGUAAUAUUGUGGGACGUGUGCUUUUAUUAGACAAAAACCAAGCGAUCGUUGAUUUGUAGUCAUCGAUUGUUAAAAUUUGGUUGAACUCUAGAUAACUUGCUGAUCGUAUGGUCUCGUACCGACGACAGAUCUUUCAAAUGUCUGCCCUAUCAACUUUUGAUGGUAGUAUAUAGGACUACCAUGGUUGCUACGGGUAACGGGGAAUCAGGGUUCGAUUCCGGAGAGGGAGCCUGAGAAACGGCUACCACAUCUAAGGAAGGCAGCAGGCGCGUAAAUUACCCACUCCCAGCUCGGGGAGGUAGUGACGAAAAAUAACAAUACAGGACUCAUUUUAGAGGCAUUGUAAUUGGAAUGAGUACACUUUAAAUCCUUUAACAAGGACCUAUUGGAGGGCAAGCCUAGUGCCAGYAGCCGCGGUAACUCUAGCUCCAAUAGCGUAUAUUAAAGUUGUUGCGGUUAAAACGUUCGUAGUUGAAUUUGUGCUUCAUACAGUUAGUAUCGAUUAUAAAUGUAGUCGAUUACAAACUUGACGUAUGUAAGCGUAUUACCGGUGGGAGGUCAAUAUUUGUAUAUUUGUGUUGGAAGCGGUGUGGCGGUCGUCCUCGUUGUUGCGAAUGCCUUGUCAUUUCGAUGGCAUUGCAUCCCGUAAUCUCGCUGUGGCGUCGUCACCCAUCUAACCGGUGUGCAGAUAUACUCCUAAUUUUCUUUUUUUAUAAAAAGAAAAAGAAAAACCCAUUUCGGUGCUCUUUAUCGGGUGUUGAUGUGGGCCGGUACAAUUACUUUGAACAAAUUAGAGUGCUUCAAGCAGGCUAUGAAAUGCCUGAAUAUUUUGUGCAUGGAAUAAUGAAAUAAGACCUCUGUUCUACUUUCAUUGGUUUUUAGAUCGAAAGAGGUAAUGAUUAAUAGAAGCAGUUUGGGGGCAUUAGUAUUACGACGCGAGAGGUGAAAUUCUUGGACCGUCGUAAGACUAACUUAAGCGAAAGCAUUUGCCAAAGAUGUUUUCAUUAAUCAAGAACGAAAGUUAGAGGUUCGAAGGCGAUCAGAUACCGCCCUAGUUCUAACCAUAAACGAUGCCAGCUAGCAAUUGGGUGUAGCUAAGAUUAUGGCUCUCU